rnacentral:lncRNA from 1 species
AGCUGCUCCAUUAAGCUGGCAGCUGCAGAACCUGAUGUAAGCCUGCAUGUGCGACAGCUCAGCUGCCAGGAUGUCCCCAAUCAUCUGCACCGGCAUCUUCUCGCCCCCGGUCUUCUUCCGCACCCGCAAAGCCCUGCCAAGAACACACUCUCAUUUUGUGUUUCUAAGUGAAUGACUUAGGUAACUGAAGGAUGACAGAGACAGCAUUUGGAGGGUGUGAGAGCUUCCGUCACUAUUUGUGAAUUCACACAUCAAAAGUGAUGCCUUGCUUUGACUCUGCGUGGAGGCAGCCCUGAGUCUGAUGCCCACCAUCUCUCAUGAGAGACAGCAGAUACCCCGAGAGCUAGCCAGCAGCAGCCUCCUCACCUCGACGACGAGCUGAAGGAACUGUGCAGAGCGUGUGAAGAAUCUCACCACCUCAAGACAUUUUUCGAAGUUACUGAAAUGAUUAAAUGAAUCAGAUGCUUCAGACCAC